rnacentral:sRNA from 1 species
GACAAAAAAAAUUGUAGCCCAAGAGUUCGCAAAGAAACACGUUACCUUCGAGUUUUUUUGGAAAGUAGAGAAGUUGGCUCGAGUACUUUGAUAUGCAAAGUGUUCUAAUGUGCUAAUUUUGUAAUGCCCAAGAGAUAGGGGAGGGGAUUGGGAGGAGAAGGCGUUGGUGGUUGUAGAGGAGAUGAUUGUCGCAUGUGUGGGUGAAGGGGGGAAGGUUUGGGGACUUUGUGCGUGGGUGAGAGAUUUAAAACCUCACUCGAUCAGGCCAUGCGUACGCACUGCCCAAGCAGAUUGGCCUCGAGCGGCUAAUCUGCCAACCGUGCAUACACACCGGCCUGGUUAACAAUUUUUUUUCUUUUUUUUUUAAUAACUGACUCUCCAUACCCACCCCUGACUGAAUUCUUUACAUAAUACAGUUUAGAAAUAUGCAAAAUGAUUAUGACAUAGAAGUUCAACGCCAAUCUUGAAAUGUUCGUUUUGGUUUAAACCGAACCUGACCACUUGUGUUCUACUCCCAAACUAAUACCUUUACCACUAUGUUCGAAAGAUGUGCAAUUGAUGCGGGAAUCAAUAGAUUAUAAGUAAGUCAUUCUUGUACCCAAAAUUACACGUUUCAAUCUCGAUGACUGUAACGUCUCAUUUUUUUUAUCUAGAUAUUCGUGAUGCCCUCCAAUUGCAUCUCUGGAAUGAUUGAACUCCCCUAAACUUGUGUAAAACAAAUAUGAAAUUGCGUGACCUGUGCAUUGACUAAACAACUAAGCAAUGAAUGGAUGACACCUAAUCUAUCUAACACACCCAAGCAAUAAAGAAAACAUAUAAAAAAUUCCUAAUCUAAUGCAACAAAGCGAAAUAAAUAAAAGGGAAGAGAAUUGGGUUGCCUCCCAAUAAGCAUUAUUUUUAUAGUCUAUAGCUCGACUUUGUUGCUCAG